GUAUACUACGUCCGUUUCGUUUGUCUUAUAGUAAAGUAUUUGUGUGGUUAUUGUUACAAUUUAAACUGUAUGAGAAUACCCAUCAAUAAAUAUUCAAAAUUACAUCAAGCGUUUUAUUCUUGUGGUUCAACCCAAUAAAAUGGCGGAACUUACAGAAGCAGAAAAAUUAAUUAAUUUGUUGAGAGAGUGGCAGAUUCCCGUAGAAAUUAUUGAAAAAUUUACAGACAAUGGAAUGACAAUCGAGUUAUUAUCAGAUUUGACAGAAAAUGAGUUAAAAGAAAUGUGUCCGCAAAUGGCCACAAGAAUUAAAGUUCGACAAAAAAUUGAGACUAUGCGUGCAGAAAAUAAAAGUUUCUUAUUUUUAUAGUUAAAAAAAUGUUAACAUAUUGAAAUUUAAAUUUUAAACAUUUCAUUUCUAUUUUUAAAUGUAUUCAUUCGCAGCGUGAUGCGCCAGUUGAUAUUAAUAAUAAUGACAAUGCCCCUGCACAAAAUUUAGAAGAAUCAGAUCAUGAGUUAAAUGACUUGCUGCUGUUGAAUAAUUUCGUGGAUUUGAAUUUAAAAGACUUACUAGACAAGGCACCCGAGGGUAAUGAAAUUUAUACAGACUUAAAUGCCACAGGAAAAUUAUCAUCUAAGUCGCAACAAUGUUUAGUUGAUGUCAUUGGACGACAUUUAUAUCCGUGGCUAAAAGUCAAAACAAAUGUCAUGACGCGGAAACAUUAUUAUUUAAUUUAAAAAAAAAUCAAAGAAGAAUUUCCAAAUGAAUUGAGUGGUGUUUAUUAUACACCACCAGUAAGUAAUAAAAUUUCACUAACUCACAAAUCGAUCGGGCCACGUGGAAAAUUACCUGAUAAAGUCAGGAAUCUUCUGCAUCAAUCAGAAAUUCGCAAAAAAAGGAAAAAUGAUGAAGCACUUGAGCAGCAAUAACAAAAUCAGAUACUCGAAGACUUACAAGGUACACGGAAAAAAACAGAAUAUUAAAAAUUAAUAAAUAAUAGUAAAAAGUGGAAUCUUUUAUCAAUAAUUAGUACUAUUAUGUACUUUUUGCAAAGUAGUUUACUAAUUUUUGUAGAUUCCUAAAAACUAUUAGCAAUUAUUUCAAAAAGUAAGUAAAUAUUAUUACUUUUAGGUAUAAAUACGUGACUUAUUAGUGAAAGUUAAUUAAUUUAUGGCGUACAUCUAUUAAAAAGUAAUGAUUGGUCAAAUUAAGAAUCGCUAUCUUAGAUACUGAUUUUUCCAGCCUAAAAAUUGCAAAAGUUACUAACUUUUAUUUUAUAAAUUCGAUAUCACUGAUCAAUUAUUAGCUUAAAAUAUUAUUUAUUCGUUAUUGUAAAUUAAUUUAUUAUAUA